UACAGAGGGGGCAAGCGUUGUUCGGAAUUACUGGGCGUAAAGGGCGCGUAGGCGGCCUUCUAAGUCGAACGUGAAAUCCCCGGGCUCAACCCGGGAACUGCGUCCGAUACUGGAAGGCUUGAAUCCGGGAGAGGGAUGUGGAAUUCCAGGUGUAGCGGUGAAAUGCGUAGAUAUCUGGAGGAACACCGGUGGCGAAGGCGAACAUCCUGGACCGGUAUUGACGCUGAGGCGCGAAAGCCAGGGGAGCAAAGCAGG
rnacentral:rRNA from 1 species